rnacentral:rRNA from 1 species
GAUGAACGCUAGCGACAGGCCUAACACAUGCAAGUCGAGGGGCAGCACGAGGUAGCAAUACUGAGGUGGCGACCGGCGCACGGGUGAGUAACACGUAUGCAACCUACCUGUAAGAGGGGAAUAACCCGGAGAAAUUCGGACUAAUACCGCAUAACACUGCCAUACCGCAUGGUAUAGCAGUUAAACAUUUAUGGUUUACAGCUGGGCAUGCGUAUGAUUAGAUAGUUGGUGAGGUAACGGCUCACCAAGUCAACGAUCAUUAGGGGUUCUGAGAGGAAGGUCCCCCACACUGGUACUGAGACACGGACCAGACUCCUACGGGAGGCAGCAGUGAGGAAUAUUGGUCAAUGGGCGAGAGCCUGAACCAGCCAAGUCGCGUGAAGGAAGAAGGUUCUAUGGAUUGUAAACUUCUUUUGUAAGGGAAUAAAAAGAGUUACGUGUAACUUAUUGUAUGUACUUUACGGAUAAGGAUCGGCUAACUCCGUGCCAGCAGCCGCCGUAA